ACACCAAAAGUGGAUGUUUACAGUUUUGGUAUGGUACUGUUGGAAAUCAUAUCCGGAAAGAGGAACACACCGGAAGUAAAUAGUAAGAGCAGUUAUCAGGUUGCGUUUUUCCCAGUGCAGGCCAUCAGCAAGCUUCAUGAGGGAGACCUGCAGAGUUUGGUGGAUCGACAGUUACAUGGUGACUUCGACUUGGAAGAGGCUGAAAGGGUUUGCAAAGUUGCAUUUUGGUGCAUCCAAGACAAUGAAUGUGAUCGGCCGACAAUGGGUGAAGUAGUCCGUGUUCUUGAGGGCCUUCAGGAGCUCAAUAUGCCCCCGAUGCCAAGACUACUUGCAGCUAUAACGGAACGCUCUGAUGCAGCUUCAAUGUAAUAAUUGCAGUUGAUGUUUAUUUUUGUUUCAGCAAAUUUGGAAGUUGUAUUUUGGAGCUGAAGGAAUAAAAGGACAAGCUUGCAAUAUCUAAUUGAGUUUUUUGGUGCAUGUGGUCUCCCAUUUGCCUAUUUACGUUACGCUGUUUUAGUGACUAACUCUAGCAAAAUACGGCAAAGCUAGAAAUAUGUGUCUGCAUAUUGAUGAAAAGAGUCAACAUAUAUCCUUAAAUUGAAGGAGCAUUUGAUGUAUGCCACUGCUGAUUGCUUGCCUUAGAGAUAUUCCACUUCUUCUCUGCAGGGUAUGUGUGUGCUGUCUGAGUUGUUCAGCUCUGUUAUCCGGGGCAGAGCAACUGUGAGCUUUUUUUUUCAGAGAUGUCAAAGUAACCCCGAGUUCGGUUCUCUGGUAGAAAGGAGCGGUUCCGCAAUUUUGAGGGAUUUUUUUUUUGCUGUCUCUGUACGUUCUUCAGAACCUCAGGAGGAGACUCUGUUUGUUACUUUGGGUGCCCUGAACGUUCAGAAUAAGACUUCUUCUGAGCCGCAUCUGAAGAUACAAUGCUAUCUCUGAACUCUGAAGAAUACUUCUCCUAUUCUCUUUCAGGGAAAUGUGCAGUUGUUCAGGUGUGAUGUGAUCUUGGUGGGCUGUAAAUUAUACAUUGUCCUAGGUGUGAAGAAUACCCCGUCAUAUAAACAGUCUUCAUCGAUGGAUGAUGCGUCCAGCACCAGACCGAAUUGUCCUGUCGCCAGACUGUUUCUUCUCGUCGCCGACUACAGUAUUUGCCUGGGUUUUUGGUUGAUGUGCCCAUCGUUACUGAACUGUCAGUUAGGCUCCUGCCUGUAGUCGUCGUCGUCCUCGAAACACCCUGACCAGCGCAAACCCGUUGGUUCACACCAUCUCCUGCCGAGCUCAAUGCCAGACAUCUUGACCCAUCCGGCCGCGCAUUCCGCGCAGCCCUGACGACUAUGAGCAUGUUACGCCAUGUUUGGUGUUCUCACCUGCAUAUCCGUGCCAGCUGAACAGCACACGGACCACACCUGCCGCCCGGUUUCAAGAAUAAACAGCAAGAAAGACUCAAGUUACUUUUUCCCUCAAUCUCCACCCUCUCUCCAACACGAUUUGGGGAUUUCAUAAGAUAAGGUUGAGGAUUUGGAAUGUAGUUAGAUGGAAGGACGAGGGACCUGGAAGUUAAGGUAGUUCUGUGGUUGGUGCUAGGGCGGCAAUGCGGCUCUCGCCUUCGCCGGUGAGGGUGGCGGAGGAUGGCCUACGGAGAAGGUGAAGGCAGAGGGAACUUACUCCAACAUGUUACCAUGGCGAGUGGGAGUGGUCAUGGAGGAUCUGGCGAUGGGGAGCCACCGUUUGAGGAAGAGGGGGGAGGCAGCAUGAUUUUAGUUUUAUUCUAAGUUAAACUUUUCCAAGUUAGUCAAGUUUAUGGAAAAAUUCAUCAAUACUGCACCAUCAAACUGGUUUCAUUAAAACCACCAAGAAAUAUGUUUAAAUGUGUAGAUGACAUGUUCAACAACAUCGACGCACCUAUGAUGACUAUCCAUCUCAAAUCUAUUUGCCCAGUUUAUUGUAGACAGUUCAUAGAUAUGAGCGUGUGUGCGCAAUAGUGAAUUUGUAUCAUGUUCUUUUUUUUAAAAGAGAAAGAGAAAGAUGUGUGAGAGUGAAAACUCUAUACCAUAUUUGGAUACUAAGACAUAUUAAGCUCUUUUACGGUACUACUAGUCAGUGGUAUGUAAGUAUCCAUUCAUUAUUAUGGAUAAUUCAUUAAUUAUUUUAUUGUAAAAAGUGAUAUUUCAAAUGAAAUGGUUUUUUAAACUUUAUGCUAGUGUCAAAAAUAAAAUUAUAGUGAUGCUAUUUGUGUUUUUUUUACCGUGAUACCCUUAUACUACCUAUACUACUCAUGUAUACUACUAAUAACACAUGUGAAGAUUUUAGUAAUAUACAAUUAAUCAUGAACAUCGAAUGUUUUUAUACUAAUUCUUCUCGAACACUGGUAUAGUUUAAUAUUGUGUACUGUAAAAUAGCUCUAUACUAAAUAGCCGCAUUUGUGAGAUACGUAAUACAUCAACUUAGGAUUAAUCCCAUAUGAGUAGAACCAUCCAAGUUUGUUUUCCUCGUACCCACUAAAGCAUUGUAUAAUCAUAAACAAUAGAGACGGGAGGGGAAUGAUUACCAUUAAAAAGCUUGCAGUGCCAAUAUAUUGCACGAGCAAGGAGCUAGCUAGCUUGAUGACAGAUUGCCUCGCACGAAUCGAGCACUACUACAUGUCAAGCAAGCCAGCCUGUUUGCCCUACCUAUAUCGGCUACUCUAUUUGUUGACCUUUUCUAUAUAUCCUGAUAACAUUGUAUGUUUUGUCUACACUGAUCACUUGGAGAUUUUUCUUUUGACGACGGGUGGCCUCUAGCGACCCCUUGCUAUCCCACGCGACAGCACCAUGCUGCUAGCCUGUUUCAUUGUACUGGAUCGACGACCUGCGCCGGGUCCUUCACGACAAGGCGUUUCCGUCAGGGACUCGAAGCCGCCGACGAGGGGUGAGGUCAACGGUCAACCACCGCGCUUACAGGGAUGCUCCCGGCUCGCCGUACUGUGUUCCUCGUCCGUCAACUGGACAUGAAUGCGCCCGUCCUCUGGUGCGUCACGUACAGUUAGCCUUCUUCUGUAUAUAUACACAUGAAGGCUCCUCUUCUCCGAAACAGCACAGCACAGCACCUGUCCGGCCAUGGCUCCCCUCUACAUAGUACUGCUGGUUGGGCUUAUUUCCUUGUCUUCGCCCCACAAUCCUUUCGGUUCCGCCGCGACGACGCCAAAUGGUGACACUCUCGCUGCAGGCCAGGCGCUUGCCGUCGGUGACAAGCUCGUCUCAAGAAACGGCAAGUUCGCGCUCGGCUUUUUUUCCGCUUCCGGCAAAGCCUCGCUGCCAUUGGUAAGUCCACCGACAAGAACACCACAAUCUCCUCCCCCGGAUGGUAUCUUGGCAUAUGGUUCGAUAAGAUCCCGGUUUGCACCCCCGUGUGGAUUGCUAACCGGGAGAGGCCAAUCGCCGAAUCCGAACUCAAGGCCACACGGCUCAAAAUAUCAACAGAUGGCGACCUCGUUGUCGCCAUCUUGCACAAUCAUACCAGGAUCAAAUCCAUAUUCUGGACCACUAAUGGCACUAUUGCCAAUAGAACAAGAAGUAGCAGUGUCGUUCUCAUGAACACCGGAAACCUUGCCGUCCUACCAAAAGCCCCAUCGAAUGGUGUACCAUUGUGGCAGAGCUUUGACUACCCAGCAGAUGUCGGGCUUCCUUCAGCAAAGAUAGGCUGGGAUAAGGUCAUCGGCUUGAAUAGGUUUGGCAUCUCUAAGAAGAGCCUAAUUGAUCCAAGUUUUGGCUCAUACUCAAUUGAAGUAGGCACUGAUGGGGCGUUGCGCCUUACAAGUCGCAUAUCCCGCUAUGUAGUGUAUUGGUCUUGGCCACCAGGAAAAUUAGCACAACUUGUACAAGUACUCGAUGGGUUGAUGGACUCGGAUCCACGGACCAAGGGUUUGCUUACACCUAGAUAUCAAGAAAAUGACCAAGAGGUGUACUUCUCGUACAACAAAACGGAUGAAUCAGCUUCUGUAUUCGUCGAAAUAGGCAUCUCCGGUCAGCUCAAGCUGAAUGUUUGGUCGCGAGCCAAAGAAUCUUGGGAAACUGUAUACGCCCAGCCUUCUAGUUUUUGCUCAGCAUAUGCUGUAUGUGGACCUUUCACGGUCUGCAAUGGCAAUUCGGGCCCAUUAUUCUGUGACUGUAUGGAGACCUUCUCUCGGAAAUCGCCUCGAGAUUGGGACCUUGGUGAUCGAACAGGAGGGUGUGUUAGAAAUACUGCCUUAGAUUGCAUAGGUAGCAACAAAAGCAAGACAAGUUCAACAGAUGUGUUUCACCCCAUAUCUCGCGUUACGUUGCCCUAUGACGAACAGAGAAUAGAAGAUGCUGCCACGCAAACUGAUUGUGCAGAAGCUUGUCUCAAUAACUGCUCCUGCACCGCUUAUUCCUAUGAGAAUAGUAAAUGCUCUGUCUGGCACGGGGAAUUGCUCAAUGUCAAUCUGGACGAUGGGAUUGGUAUUUCUUCUCAAGAUGUUCUUUACCUUCGUCUUGCUGCAAGAGAUUUUCAAAGUUUGAGGGAGAACAACAAAAGAAUACCAAGAGUUAUUAUUGGUGCAAGCAUUGUUAGUUUUGGGUUUCUAAUGCUCAUGGUGUUGUUGAUGGUUUGGAUUGGAAACGGAUUCAAAUGGUUCAGUGUGCCAAUACAUGGCAUUCAAAAUAGUGGUGGAAUUGUGGCCUUUAGGUACACCGAUUUAGGCCGCGCAACUAAAAAUUUCUCAGAAAUGCUAGGAAGUGGUGGUUUCGGUUCUGUAUUCAAGGGAGUGUUAAGUCAAACAACUACAAUUGCAGUCAAAAGGCUUGAUGGUGCUCGCCAAGGAGAGAAGCAAUUUAGAGCUGAGGUGAGCUCAAUUGGGUUGAUUCAACAUAUCAACCUAGUGAAAUUGAUUGGUUUCUGCUGCGAAGGUGACAAGAGGCUACUUGUUUAUGAGCACAUGCCAAAUGGGUCUCUUGAUGCCCAUUUAUUUAAGAGCGAUGCUAUCAUCCUAAAUUGGAGCACAAGGUAUCAAAUAGCCAUAGGAGUUGCUAGAGGAUUAUGCUAUUUGCAUCAGAGUUGCCGUGAAUGCAUCAUACAUUGUGAUAUUAAGCCAGAAAACAUACUUCUCGACGCGUCAUUUGUUCCUAAAAUUGCAGACUUUGGGAUGGCAGCAUUUGUAGGAAGGGAAUUUAGCCGAGUUCUAACUACAUUCAGAGGAACUGUAGGGUAUCUUGCCCCAGAGUGGCUUAGCGGAGUUGCUAUAACACCGAAAGUUGAUGUUUAUAGCUUUGGUAUGGUACUAUUGGAAAUCAUAUCUGGAAAGAGGAACACACCAGAAGUGUGCAGUAAGAGCAGUUAUGAUGCUGCUUAUUUUCCCGUGCAAGCCAUCAACAAGCUUCAUGAGGGAGACCUGCAGAGUUUGGUGGAUCCACAGUUACAUGGUGACUUCGACUUGGAAGAGGCUGAAAGGGUUUGCAAAGUUGCAUUUUGGUGCAUCCAAGACAAUGAAUGUGAUCGGCUGACAAUGGGUGAAGUGGUCCGUGUUCUUGAGGGCCUUC
rnacentral:lncRNA from 1 species